rnacentral:misc_RNA from 1 species
AUGCGAUAAGUAAUGUGAAUUGCAGAAUUCCGUGAAUCAUCGAAUCUUUGAACGCACAUUGCGCCCGCUAGUAUUCUGGCGGGCAUGCCUGUUCGAGCGUCAUUUCAACCAUCAAGCCCCCGGCUUGUGUUGGGGACCUGCGGCUGCCGCAGGCCCUGAAAUACAGUGGCGGGCUCGCCGUAGCACCGAGCGUAGUAGCAUACUUCUCGCUCCGGUAGAAGCGGCGGGCGCCUGCCGUAAAACCCCCCUUAAAAUCUCAAGGUUGACCUCGGAUCAGGUAGGAAUACCCGCUGAACUUAA